rnacentral:rRNA from 1 species
UGAGGAACAUGACCUUCGGCGGGGGAUAGCCGGCCCAACGGCCGAGUAAUACCGCGUACGACCACUUUGGGACAUCCCUAGGUGGUGAAAGCAGCAAUGCGCCGAUGGAGUGCCUCGCGGCCUAUCAGCUUGUUGGUGAGGUAACGGCUCACUAAGGCAAUGACGGGUAGCCGGCCUGAGAGGGCGAUCGGCCACACUGGGACUGAGACACGGCCCAGACUCCUACGGGAGCAG